rnacentral:tRNA from 1 species
GGCCCUGAGAGAGCGCAAAGUGCAAAUUUGUUACAGCACCCCUAAAGGGUGCCGGGGCUU